rnacentral:rRNA from 1 species
UACGAAGGGGGCUAGCGUUGUUCGGAAUCACUGGGCGUAAAGCGCACGUAGGCGGAUCUUUAAGUCAGGGGUGAAAUCCCGAGGCUCAACCUCGGAACUGCCUUUGAUACUGGGGAUCUCGAGUCCGGGAGAGGUGAGUGGAACUGGCGAGUGUAGAGGUGAAAUUCGUAGAUAUUCGCAAGAACACCAGUGGCGAAGGCGGCUCACUGGCCCGGAACUGACGCUGAGGU